AACGCAUAUGGCACCUGCCGGCCCUGCUGGAAGGUAUGCCUGUUUGAGAAUCAUAUCCACAUGACCGUCCACGCGACAGUCGACCUGGGCCCUCAGCAUUGACGCCCCGAAUUGCGCGCGGUCGCCAUGCUAAUCCGUUGGUUGGCGACCAAUCCAUUUCAUGAUCUCAAAUCAGGCAAGGCUACCCGCUGAACUUAA
rnacentral:misc_RNA from 1 species